CUGGGCCCUCUCUGGGACUGGAUGCACAGGGAUGGAGACUGGACAGGAGCAGGGUGUGCGGAGACUGGAACUGCUAUCUAACGUGGGAAGUGAGGGAGCCCAGAGAGAUGGGAAAGAGCAGCGCCCUUCCUACGCCUCUCUCAGACACGAUCCCAUGGCAUAGAGCAAGAGUGGAGAGUUUCAAAGUCCCAUGGGCCUGGUUUCCAUGCCCCCUCUGCUCCUCCCUAACCUGGUAUCUUUCCUCACCUGAAGAAUGGGAGUAACACCGCCUCCCCAGGGACGCUGUGAGAAUGGAGUCUAUAUCAUCAUCUGGCCACAAAGGUACUAACAAACCACAACCAACCUCCCUGAACAACCAACCACCAACCCCACCUACCAGGGCUCUAGCAUUUUAUACCAUCUGAAAAGUUCCCAGAAUUCCAAACAUCACACAGAAACUAUCCGUAGCUGGCAAAAGUACAUCUCUGCUAGAGCACAAGCUAAAUCACAGUCAACUGCUGUGGACAGGCUGAAGCAGCUCCAUAUCCCAUACCUGGGAU